rnacentral:tRNA from 1 species
UAACACAAUAUUUAUCUAAUACAAGUAAGUAUACUUGACUUCCAAUCAAGAAAUUUGUGCAAAACAAGAUAAAUA